rnacentral:misc_RNA from 1 species
GUAUAGAUUUCAUAUUCCACAACAUUCUAUUGACAUACAUUGGGGUAAAUGAAGCAACAUAGACCUGAAAGGCCUACAAAAAGUGCACAGGUGGAGAUAUAAAGAUGACAAGGCGUGCACAUGCUCCCUAGAGAACCAGCAACAACCCAUCAGGUUUAUUUCAAUAAUGAUCCUUCCGCAGGUUCACCUACGGAAA